ACUCAAAUGAAUAGACGGGAGCCCGCACAAGCAGUGGAGUAUGUGGUUUAAUUCGACGCAACGCGAAGAACCUUACCAGAGCUUGACAUCCCAAGAAGGGGGAUUAAUGUCCCCUGUGCCCUUCGGGGAGCUUGGAGACAGGUGGUGCAUGGUUGUCGUCAGCUCGUGUCGUGAGAUGUUGGGUUAAGUCCCGCAACGAGCGCAACCCCUACGGUUAGUUGCUACGAAAGAGCACUCUGGCCGGACUGCCGUUGAUAAGACGGAGGAAGGCGGGGAUGAGGUCAAAUCAUCAUGCCCCUUACGUUCUGGGCUACACACGUACUACAAUGGCGCAAACAAAGGGGAGCGAACACGCGAGUGGAAGCAAAUCUCAAAAAAGGCGCCUCAGUUCGGAUUGCAGUCUGAAACUCGACUGCAUGAAGCUGGAAUUGCUAGUAAUCGCAGGUCAGCAUACUGCGGUGAAUACGUUCCCGGGCUUUGUACACACCGCCCGU
rnacentral:rRNA from 1 species